CACACGACUCUCGGCAACGGAUAUCUCGGCUCUCGCAUCGAUGAAGAACGUAGCAAAAUGCGAUACCUGGUGUGAAUUGCAGAAUCCCGCGAACCAUCGAGUUUUUGAACGCAAGUUGCGCCCGAGGCCUUCUGGCCGAGGGCACGUCUGCCUGGGCGUCACG
rnacentral:rRNA from 14 species